AUAGAAAAAAUUAUUAUAUUUUUUUAAAUAAAGUAUUAUAGAUUUUAUUAUUGUUAAAGAAAAAAUUGUUAAAAUUAUAGUUUAUUAGUAUUGUGAAAGAAAUUUUAAAUAUUUUAAAAAAUAAAAUAUUUUAAAGAAAAAUUUAAUUUUUGUACCUUGUGUAUCAGGGUUUAUUAACUAAAACUUAUUUAAUUAAGUUUCUCGAUUUUAAAAGAGUUAAAAAAUUAUAUAUUUUAUUGUAAAAUAAAUAUUUAAAAUAAUUUUUUAGUAAUGAAACGUUAUUCGUUUUUAAAUAUAUCUAGUUUUUAAAGAAAAAAAUUUAAUUUUGCUUUUUUAUUUUAAUUUAUUUAUUGAUAAAUAAAUUAUAAAAUUAAGGUAAUAUCUUAAGGGAUGAGCUUUAAGAUAAAUGUUUAUAAUUUAAUUAUAUUUUUAGGAUUGUAGGAUUAGAAAUUUCCAUCAAAGUAUUUUGUUAUAAUUAAUUUAUUAAAUAAUAUAAUUUUUAUAGAAUUUAAUUUUUUUAUUUAAAUAAAUUAAUUAAUUUUAAUUUAAUUGUAAUAAUGAUAAAAUUAGUAUAAUAUAUUUUAAAUUUAUGUAAUAAUUUUAAGGUAAAAUAAAAGAAUUCGGCAAAUAAGUUUCUCGCCUGUUUAUUAAAAACAUGUCCUUUUGUUAAUAAUUUAAGGUCUAACCUGCCCACUGAUUUUUUAAAGGCCGCGGUAUUUUGACCGUGCGAAGGUAGCAUAAUAAUUAGUUUUUUAAUUGAAAGCUGGAAUGAAUGGUUGAACGAGGAAAAAGCUGUUUCUAUUUUAAUUUUAUAGAAUUUUAUUUUUAAGUCAAAAAGCUUAAAUUAAUUUAAAAGACGAGAAGACCCUAUAGAGUUUUAUAAAAUAAAUGAUUUAAAAUUAUUUGAAUUAUAUAUUAUAAAUUAUUUAUUUUAUUUUAUUGGGGUGAUCGAAAAAUUUAAAAAACUUUUUUUUUAUAAUAACAUUUAUUUAUGAAUUAUUGAUCCAUAUUAAUGAUUAUAAGAUUAAAUUACCUUAGGGAUAACAGCGUAAUUUCUUUAAAGAGUUCUAAUCGAAAAAGAAGUUUGCGACCUCGAUGUUGGAUUAAAAUUAAUUUUUGGUGUAGAAGCUAAGAAUUUUAGGUCUGUUCGACCUUUAAAAUUUUACAUGAUCUGAGUUUAAACCGGCGUGAGCCAGGUUGGUUUCUAUCUUUAAAAAAAGUUUAUAUUUUAGUACGAAAGGACCAAAUAUAAGUAAAACUUACUUUAGAUGAAUAAUUUUAAU
rnacentral:rRNA from 1 species